UGGGGAAUAUUGGACAAUGGGCGCAAGCCUGAUCCAGCCAUACCGCGUGGGUGAAGAAGGCCUUCGGGUUGUAAAGCCCUUUUGUUGGGAAAGAAAAGCAUUCGGUUAAUACCCGAUUGUUCUGACGGUACCCAAAGAAUAAGCACCGGCUAACUUCGUGCCAGCAGCCGCGGUAAUACGAAGGGUGCAAGCGUUACUCGGAAUUACUGGGCGUAAAGCGUGCGUAGGUGGUUGUUUAAGUCUGUCGUGAAAGCCCUGGGCUCAACCUGGGAAUUGCGAUGGAAACUGGGCGACUAGAGUGUGGCAGAGGGUAGUGGAAUUCCUGGUGUAGCAGUGAAAUGCGUAGAGAUCAGGAGGAACAUCCGUGGCGAAGGCGACUGCCUGGGCCAACACUGACACUGAGGCACGAAAGCGUGGGGAGCAAACAGGAUUAGAUACCCUGGUAGUCCACGCCCUAAACGAUGCGAACUGGAUGUUGGGUGCAAUUUUGGCACGCAGUAUCGAAGCUAACGCGUUAAGUUCGCCGCCUGGGGAGUACGGUCGCAAGACUGAAACUCAAAUGAAUUGACGGGGUCAUAGCUGUUUUCCU
rnacentral:rRNA from 1 species